AGUUUUGUAUGACUAAUGGUUUUGUUGUUAGUUAGGGUGAACUUGAAGUUAUUUUUCUUGUAUUGGUAAUAUGAUUAGUCCUCUUUAAAUCUAGUCCUUUACAUCAUAAAAGUGAAGAUGAAGAGUAAUAAACUUAAAUGCUUUUGAACCUGGUGCUGAUUUGUGAUGAAGAGUAAACUACUGGACCUGGGGGAAGCAGUUGGAACUCAAAGCCGAAGUCUUCCUCAAGAACUUAUUGAUACGCUUCCAACCUCAAAGUACAAAUUUGGCAACUUAUUCAAAAGAAAAAAUUAUGGGAAAAGGUGUGUAGUUUUCCAUAUGACAUAUAGAUGAGGUGACCAGCAAAUGAAAUUGCCAUGCAGUUAUGUUUAUCAUGGUGAAUGCAUUACAAAUGGCUUAGCAUUAACAAGAAAUGUCCUGUUUGCAACAUUGAUGUUUUCGGUGAGGAAUCUUUUCACAUGAUACAUGUUUUGUCUGAUAGAAACAAGUUAACAACCUAACAGUGGUUAAUGUGUGAUAUUCUCUUAGUUUUGUGUCUCUACUCCCUUUGGUUACAAAGAUGAUACAUAUGGUGUUGUGACAUUUGGCAAUGAAAAAGCUUAUGAGCAUGAAUUUUAAAAUGAAAUAUGUAUGGGAGAGGGUUGAUUUGAGUGUUUGUUAUCAACUGUCCUAUGAUAUCUAGAGUCUAACUUUGGCAUCUGUCACUCCAUGGUGCUUCUUUUCAUAUACAACUUGGCACCCCUAAGUUUUUUGUUCACCGAUUAUAGAUAUCCAACUUAUAUGUCAAGUGUUUUUUUUUUUUUUAUAAAUAAAUGCUAAGUGUUGAUAAUGGCCUUUUGGCUCUGUUGUAUAUUUGAUCUUGUUCAUAUAUAAUUGAUUAUAACCUCUUGGCUUUUUUGUUUAUUUGAUCUUGUUCAUAUAUAAUUGAUCCUUGCCUCAAAAGGUAAAAUUCGUCAUUAAUAUUCUGGUUUUUCAUUUUCUAGUAAAUGAUAGGAGGAACUUUAAUUUCCACUACGUUGUGUUGAUUAUUUUUCUACAUAAGCUUUGUUUUUCUAUAUUUUUUGAACUGGUUUUUUCAGGGGAUAAUUUUGACCAAUCUACUUCAAAAUCUAAUGACAAGAAUUCAUGUGCCAGAAACAAGGUCAGUGAUUUUAAGUUUUGUUUCUAGUCAAGGUUAUUUUUGUAAAAUUUUUGUAAAAAAUAACCUAGAAUUCCUAGCAGUCCCAUUCCCUACUCUCGCGAUUAUAAUUCUCAAACCUUCUUUUCACUUCAUUAGACUAGUUAUGACUCUUACCAAGCAAGAUGGGCUGCCUAAAUGUUC